GGGCUCGUUUUGGCAGCACAUAUACUAAAAUUGGAACGAUACAGAGAAGAUGGUCCCUGUGCAAGGAUGGCACACAAAUUUGUAAAGUGUUCCGUAUUUUU
ensembl:snRNA U6 U6 spliceosomal RNA